rnacentral:misc_RNA from 1 species
UUUCCGCAGGUGAACCUGCGGAAGGAUCAUUAUUGUAUAACCGAGGUGCGAGGGCUGUCGCUGACCCGAAAGGUCGUGCACGCCCGAGUGCCCUCACACACAUCCAUCUCACCCCUAUGUGCACCACCGCGUGGGUCCCCCUUUGGCUUGUUCGGAGGGGGGCUUACGUUUUCACACAAACUUUGUAUGUAGUGUAGAAUGUAUUUUUUGUUUUUGCGAUCACGCAAUCAAUACAACUUUCAACAACGGAUCUCUUGGCUCUC